CGUAUGGAAACGUACGCUAAUACCGCAUAAUAUCUCCGGAUCAAAGAUUUAUCGCCUAAGGAUUGGCCCGCGUUAGAUUAGCUAGUUGGUGAGGUAAUGGCUCACCAAGGCUACGAUCUAUAGCUGGUCUGAGAGGAUGAUCAGCCACACUGGGACUGAGACACGGCCCAGACUCCUACGGGAGGCAGCAGUAAGGAAUAUUGGACAAUGGAGGAAACUCUGAUCCAGCCAUGCCGCGUGAGUGAUGAAGGCCUUCGGGUUGUAAAGCUCUUUUAGGUGUGAAAAUAAUGAUGGUAGCACCAGAAAAAG
rnacentral:rRNA from 1 species